rfam:Ovis aries breed Texel chromosome 2, whole genome shotgun sequence.
GUCUACCACCAUACCACCCUGAACGCACCCAAUCUCAUUUGAUAUUGGAAGCUAAGCAGGGUCAGGCCUGGCUAGUACUUGGAUUGGAGAAAAUUUUAUUAUUACAUU